rnacentral:misc_RNA from 1 species
GAUGAAGAACGCAGCGAAAUGCGAUAAGUAAUGUGAAUUGCAGAAUUCAGUGAAUCAUCGAAUCUUUGAACGCACCUUGCGCCCUUUGGCUAUUCCGAAGGGCAUGCCUGUUUGAGUAUCAUGAACACCUCAACCCUCAUGGUUUGCCAUGAUGGGCUUGGACUUUGGGGGUCUUGCUGGAUUGUAGUCAGCUCCCCUUAAAUGAAUCAGCUUGCCAGUGUUUGGUGGCAUCACAGGUGUGAUAAAUAUCUACGCUUGUGGUUUUACAUCAGAUAACCUUCAGUGAUGGAGGUUCACUGGAGCUCAUAAAGGUGUCUCUCCUCUGUGAGGACAGCUCUUUGAAUGUUUGAUCUCAGAUCAGGUAGGACUACCCGCUGAACUUAAGCAUAUCAAUAAGCGGAGGA